UAGUAGUAACGUUUCUCUCAAUCCUCUUUCAUUUCUUUUAAAGAGGGAAGUAAUUAUUAAUUAUUAAGUAUUAUUAAUUUUAUUUUUCUCUCUCCGUCCAUAAAUAUAUGAAAGCCAUGGUGUUUUGGUAUGAUCGAGGCUCAGUUGUUUGAUUGUUUCUAAAGAGAAAGCUUAUAGGUUAGGGGCUUACAUCUAUUUUUCUCAGCUCACAAUGAUACACAUUUGAUGAGGGAUUGGAGGAAAGAAAAAAAUUGGAGGAACAUUUGUGAAUCUCAACUUGAAGAAUGAUUUAAGAGAGAACAACAUGACAUGGGUAACUCGAAUGCGUGGGAGAAGAAAUGAAUCAUCAGCCAACUUAUAGUUUAUUAUAUUGAUGUAUGCAUAUAUUUCACUUGCACUUAUGUGAUCAAGAUCUUUACCCAAUAUACACCUAUAUUAAACCAAA